rnacentral:rRNA from 1 species
CCUACGGGUGGCAGCAGGGGGGAAUAUUGCACAAUGGGGGAAAGCGUGAGGCAGCGACGCCGCGUGAGGGAUGAAGGACGUCGGAAUGGAAAGCUCUAUCAGCAGGGAAGAAAAGUACGGUACCUGACCAAGACUCCCCGGCUAACGCCGGGCCAGCAGCCACGGUAACACGCCGGGCGCAAGCGUUAUCCGGAUUGACUGGGGGUAACGGGAGCGGAGACGGUUCGUCGAGUCGGAUGUGAAAGCCGGGGGCUCAACCCGGGGACUGCAUUUGAAACUGUCAGGCUAGAGUGUGGUAGAGGUAGGCGGAAUUCCUGGUGUAGCGGUGAAAUGCGUAGAUAUUAGGCGGAACACCAGUGGCGAAGGCGGUCUGCUGGACGGUGACUGACGUUGAGGCACGAAAGCGUGGGUAGCAAACAGGAUUAGAUACCCUUGUAGUC